CCUACGUGAGGCAGCAGUGAGGAAUAUUGGUCAAUGGGCGCGAGCCUGAACCAGCCAAGUAGCGUGAAGGAUGACUGCCCUACGGGUUGUAAACUUCUUUUAUAAAGGAAUAAAGUGAGGCACGAGUGCCUUUUUGUAUGUACUUUAUGAAUAAGGAUCGGCUAACUCCGUGCCAGCAGCCGCGGUAAUACGGAGGAUCCGAGCGUUAUCCGGAUUUAUUGGGUUUAAAGGGAGCGUAGAUGGGUUGUUAAGUCAGUUGUGAAAGUUUGCGGCUCAACCGUAAAAUUGCAAUUGAUACUGGCAGUCUUGAGUACAGUUGAGGUAGGCGGAAUUCGUGGUGUAGCGGUGAAAUGCUUAGAUAUCACGAAGAACUCCGAUUGCGAAGGCAGCUUACUAAACUGCCACUGACAUUGAUGCUCGAAAGUGUGGGUAUCAAACAGGAUUAGAUACCCCAGUAGUC
rnacentral:rRNA from 1 species